rnacentral:rRNA from 1 species
UGCGGCGGAUUAGCUAGUUGGUGGGGUAACGGCCUACCAAGGCGAUGAUCCGUAGGGGGCGUGAGAGCGUGGCCCCCCACACUGGCACUGAGACACGGGCCAGACUCCUACGGGAGGCAGCAGUGAGGAAUAUUGCACAAUGGGCGCAAGCCUGAUGCAGCAACGCCGCGUGAGGGACGAAGGCCUUCGGGUCGUAAACCUCUUUUCUGGGGGACGAGUAAGGACGGUACCUCAGGAAUAAGUCUCGGCUAACUACGUGCCAGCAGCCGCGGUAAAACGUAGGAGGCGAGCGUUAUCCGGAUUUACUGGGCGUAAAGCGUACGCAGGUGGCUUCGUGAGUCGGACAUGAAAGCUCCCGGCUUAACUGGGAGAGGUUGUUCGAUACUGCGAGGCUUGAGGUUGGGAGAGGGACGUGGAAUUCCCGGUGUAGUGGUGGAAUGCGUAGAUAUCGGGAGGAACACCAGUGGCGCAAGCGGCGUCCUGGCCCACACCUGACGCUGAGGUACGAAAGCGUGGGUAGCAAACAGGAUUAGAUACCCUGGUAGUCCACGCUGUAAACGAUGUCAACUGGGUGUCGGUAGUUUUACACUAUCGGUGCCGAAGCCAACGCG